rnacentral:tRNA from 1 species
GCCUGGGUGGCUCAGUUGGUUGAGCGUCUGACUUCGGCUCAGGUCAUGAUCUCACGUUGUGUGAGUUCAAGCCCCACCUUGGGCU